CACUGCCGAAAUGCGUCGCCUGGGUGGGGAUGAUGGAGCCGCAGAUUCCGUGCCAAGACGCCGUGUCUUACUUGGCCUCCUGGAAUAUGUGACUACAGUGAAGUCUUACCUGCAAUCCCAGCCUCAUCCUGACUUGUCUGAGGCCUGUCUGGCCGGCUGGUCUGUGGGACUGUUGAAAAAGUGGACCAAACAUUAUUACCAUGCUUUGUGUAAAAAUUAUAACUGCAAAGCCUUAGUGUACUGUAACCAUCUAUUAGGUAUUGGAUAAACAAAUAAUUUCUGAUUAA